GUCCACGCCGUAAACGAUGGAUACUAGCUGUUGGGCGCAAGUUCAGUGGCUAAGCGAAGUGAUAAGUAUCCCACCUGGGAGUACGUUCGCAAGAAUGAACUCAAAGGAAUUGACGGGCCCGCACAAGCGGUGGAGCAUGUGGUUUAAUUCGAUGAUACGCGAGGAACCUUACCAAGGCUUAAAUGUAGAUUGACCGGUUUGGAAACAGACUUUUCGCAAGACAAUUUACAAGGUGCUGCAUGGUUGUCGU
rnacentral:rRNA from 1 species